rnacentral:rRNA from 1 species
GAUGAACGCUGGCGGCGUGCCUAAUACAUGCAAGUCGAGCGAACAGACGAGGAGCUUGCUCCUCUGACGUUAGUGGCAGACGGGUGAGUAACACGUGGAUAACCUACCUAUAAGACUGGGAUAACUUCGGGAAACCGGAGCUAAUACCGGAUAAUAUAUUGAACCGCAUGGUUCAAUAGUGAAAGACGGUUUUGCUGUCACUUAUAGAUGGAUCCGCGCCGCAUUAGCUAGUUGGUAAGGUAACGGCUUACCAAGGCGACGAUGCGUAGCCGACCUGAGAGGGUGAUCGGCCACACUGGAACUGAGACACGGUCCAGACUCCUACGGGAGGCAGCAGUAGGGAAUCUUCCGCAAUGGGCGAAAGCCUGACGGAGCAACGCCGCGUGAGUGAUGAAGGUCUUCGGAUCGUAAAACUCUGUUAUUAGGGAAGAACAAAUGUGUAAGUAACUAUGCACGUCUUGACGGUACCUAAUCAGAAAGCCACGGCUAACUACGUG